rnacentral:rRNA from 1 species
GACGGAGGGUCCUAGCGUUGUUCGGAAUCACUGGGCGUAAAGGGCUCGUAGGCGGUCAUUCAAGUCGAGUGUGAAAGCCCGGGGCUCAACCUCGGAACUGCAUUCGAUACUGGAUUGCUUGAGGCCGGAAGAGGAGAGUGGAAUACCCAGUGUAGAGGUGAAAUUCGUAGAUACUGGGUUGAACACCAGUGGCGAAAGCUGCUCUCUGGUCCGGUCCUGACGCUGAGGCGCGACGGAUUGGGUAGCACCUUGG